rnacentral:rRNA from 1 species
UACGUAGGGUGCGAGCGUUGUCCGGAAUUAUUGGGCGUAAAGAGCUCGUAGGCGGUUUGUUGCGUCUAUCGUGAAAACCUGCAGCUUAACUGUGGGCUUGCGGUGGAUACGGGCAGACUUGAGUUCGGUAGGGGAGACUGGAAUUCCUGGUGUAGCGGUGGAAUGCGCAGAUAUCAGGAGGAACACCGAUGGCGAAGGCAGCUCGCUGGGACGGUACUGACGCUGAGGCGCGAAAGCGUGGGGAGCAAACAGG